CAUGUUCCCCUCAGGGGAAGGUGACAACCUUCGACAAGGUUCGACAAAACCGCAGGUUUUGAACAACGCCCAGCGUUGGCCCGCAGGGUGAGGAGCGCAGCGACGAAUUAUCCUUCCCCCACCACCA
rnacentral:sRNA from 1 species